rnacentral:lncRNA from 1 species
GGUUGAGUCAUUAUCUGAUUACUGAGUUAUUGUUGCUUCCGUAAAUUCCAACAGUUGCUGGUAAUAUGCUUGCCCCCGCAAAAGGUACAUUGUACAGUCAUUUGGGGAGGCAAAGGACAUUCUGUUACUAAAUAACCUUGCCCCUUACAAUUCCUGCACCAGACAUUGGGACGCAUAUUGGUUGAUUUAUGUCUUUUUU